UACAGAGGGUGCGAGCGUUAAUCGGAAUUACUGGGCGUAAAGAGUGCGUAGGCGGAUAUUUAAGUCAGAUGUGAAAGCCCUGGGCUUAACCUAGGAAUUGCAUCUGAUACUGGAUGUCUAGAGUAUGGUAGAGGAUAGCGGAAUUUCCGGUGUAGCGGUGAAAUGCGUAGAUAUCGGAAGGAACACCAGUGGCGAAGGCGGCUAUCUGGGCCAAUACUGACGCUGAGGCACGAAAGCGUGGGGAGCGAACAGG
rnacentral:rRNA from 1 species